rnacentral:tRNA from 1 species
AUAAAGAUAAGCUAAAUAAAGCUAAAGGGCUCAUAUCCCUUUGAUAGAGUCAUAACUCUUCUUUCUA